GGCGCAUCGGGCUAACUGCAGACNACGAACUACUUCGGUAGUUAGUGGCAGACGGGUGAGUAACGCGUGGGUAAUCUACCUCCGAGUGGGGCAUACCUGGCCGAAAGGCCAGUUAAUUCCGCAUAAUAUAAAGAACACCUUGGUGUUCUUUCUCAAAGCCCGGAUUACGGGUGCUUGGAGAGGAGCUCGCGUUAGAUUAGUUAGUUGGUGGGGUAAUGGCCUACCAAGACUGCGAUCUAUAGCCGGCCUGAGAGGGUGAUCGGCCACACUGGAACUGAGACACGGUCCAGACUCCUACGGGAGGCAGCAGUGGGGAAUUUUGCGCAAUGGGGGAAACCCUGACGCAGCAACGCCGCGUGAGUGAAGAAGCAUCUUGGUGUGUAAAGCUCUGUCGAUAGGGACUAAAAGCCGUUGCCUAAUAAGUAACGGAAUUGAAUGUACCUAUAGAGGAAGCCCCGGCUAACUCCGUGCCAGCAGCCGCGGUAAUACGGAGGGGGCAAGCGUUAUUCGGAAUUACUGGGCGUAAAGGGCGCGUAGGCGGCCCGUUAAGUGAGAAGUGAAAGCCCACGGCUUAACCGUGGAACUGCUUCUCAUACUGGCGGGCUAGAGUAUGGGAGAGGAAAGUGGAAUACCCGGUGUAGCGGUGAAAUGCGUAGAGAUCGGGUGGAACACCAGUGGCGAAGGCGACUUUCUGGACCAUAACUGACGCUGAUGCGCGAAAGCGUGGGUAGCAAACAGGAUUAGAUACCCUGGUAGUCCACGCCCUAAACGAUGAUUACUUUGUGCAGCGGGUGUCGACCCCUGCUGUGCANGAGCUAACGCAUUAAGUAAUCCGGCUGGGGAG
rnacentral:rRNA from 1 species